GGGCGUUAAGUUGCAGGGUAUAGACCCGAAACCCGGUGAUCUAGCCAUGGGCAGGUUGAAGGUUGGGUAACACUAACUGGAGGACCGAACCGACUAAUGUUGAAAAAUUAGCGGAUGACCUGUGGCUGGGGGUGAAAGGCCAAUCAAACCGGGAGAUAGCUGGUUCUCCCCGAAAGCUAUUUAGGUAGCGCCUCGUGAAUUCAUCUCCGGGGGUAGAGCACUGUUUCGGCUAGGGGGCCAUCCCGGCUUACCAACCCGAUGCAAACUGCGAAUACCGGAGAAUGUUAUCACGGGAGACACACGGCGGGUGCUAACGUCCGUCGUGAAGAGGGAAACAACCCAGACCGCCAGCUAAGGUCCCAAAGUCAUGGUUAAGUGGGAAACGAUGUGGGAAGGCCCAGACAGCCAGGAUGUUGGCUUAGAAGCAGCCAUCAUUUAAAGAAAGCGUAAUAGCUCACUGGUCGAGUCGGCCUGCGCGGAAGAUGUAACGGGGCUAAACCAUGCACCGAAGCUGCGGCAGCGACACUCAGGUGUUGUUGGGUAGGGGAGCGUUCUGUAAGCCUGCGAAGGUGGCCUGUGAGGGUUGCUGGAGGUAUCAGAAGUGCGAAUGCUGACAUAAGUAACGAUAAAGCGGGUGAAAAGCCCGCUCGCCGGAAGACCAAGGGUUCCUGUCCAACGUUAAUCGGGGCAGGGUGAGUCGACCCCUAAGGCGAGGCCGAAAGGCGUAGUCGAUGGGAAACGGGUUAAUAUUCCCGUACUUGGUGUUACUGCGAAGGGGGGACGGAGAAGGCUAUGUUGGCCGGGCGACGGUUGUCCCGGUUUAAGCGUGUAGGUGUGUGUUCCAGGUAAAUCCGGUUCACUUUAACACUGAGGCGUGAUGACGAGGCACUACGGUGCUGAAGCAACAAAUGCCCUGCUUCCAGGAAAAGCCUCUAAGCAUCAGGUAACAUCAAAUCGUACCCCAAACCGACACAGGUGGUCAGGUAGAGAAUACCAAGGCGCUUGAGAGAACUCGGGUGAAGGAACUAGGCAAAAUGGUGCCGUAACUUCGGGAGAAGGCACGCUGACA
rnacentral:rRNA from 1 species